rnacentral:lncRNA from 1 species
AUGAAGUCUACCACUCCUAAUCAUCGGAAAUGCUGUGGUUUGGUCCUAUUUCCUCUGGGAUUGCUUCUGAGGAUGCUGUCUUCAUGCCAGCUGCAGGCAGUUGAAUCGCAGGCCUUCACAGGACCACUGGACUUCUGGCAGCAAACAGGAAAUCGCUCCUUUCCCUCUGACUUCACUGAGCUGGAAGACUACGAGAGUGUUCUUUGUCCCACGAUUGGCGAAUGUUCUUUCGUUAGGGGUUCAGACACCAAUGCCAUUUCUUCAGAGCAUUGUCUACACCUGCAUAGGGUUUGUAAAGUGUCACUUGUCCAGCACAGUGUCAGAGGGCAAUGGGCCCUGGUGUGCCCAACACCCAGCAUCUUCAUCAGAUACUGCUUUGACAUCUUCACAGUGAGGUCUUAUCCACAGCCAUGAAUGUUUAGGCGGGGUUUGCUGCUCAGCUGCUGACCUUUCUCUGGUAAGAGUUUCCUAUAUCCUAUCAACACUAAAGACACUUUUUCUCCGCAUGUCAGUCUCUGGUCUCCAAAUAUUACUAACUGUAGAUAUUCACUUAAAAUUAUUUAUUUAAAAAAAUAUUUAUUUAUCUGAGAGAGAGAGAGAGAGAGAGAAUGAGCCAGAGGAGCAGAAGGAGAGGGAGGGAGAAUCUGAGUAUGAGGAGCCUGAUGCAGAAUUCAAUCCCAGAACCCUAAGAUCAUAACCUGAUUGAAAACCGAGAGAUGGAUGCUCAACUGACUAUGCCACUUAGGCACCCCAGACAUUCGCUUUUUAAUUCCCUUGUAGAUUAGAGUCCUUUUCUUCUCUUAGUAUAAAGGUGAUAUAUAUCCACUGUAGAGAAUUUAGAACACACAAAAAAGCUAAAACAAGAAAAAUUAUCAUUGUGGGUAUAAACAUUGCUAAGACCUUGGUGUGAGUAACUCUUUUCCCUCCAUAUUUAUAAUUUUUAUUUAGAAAUAAAAACAGAAUUACUUCUUAUAUAGGCAAUGCUUUCCUCCAAGUUAUUUCCUAUUUUAUAGAAUCAAUUGUUACAAAACUAGUCUCUGGCCCCUGCUAAUUGGACCAGUAUGGCCCUGGCUGGGCCAGUACCUACUCUUUCCUUAGUGUUAAGUCAGAUGAUAUUGGGGUCUGGAGCCAUAAUAUCACAUCAAGGUGGAAUUCAAAUUUUCACUUUGAAGCCUAAAACUUUAUUGGAGAAGGUGGUUUGCAUGAGUCAAGUAGAGAAUACCCAGCAAUCUAGAGACAUUCCUUGGAUGCUGGCACUAGUUCCUGUGAUGAAUUUUGUUCUCUAGCCAUUUGUUCAAUAAGUUCUCAAUAGAUUCUAGCCAUUUAUUGAGAUGUGAAACCCUUUUUUAGUUGUGGAGCUGUCUGUGGGAUAUUUCCCUCUAACAGUAUCUGAACAAGGUGACACUUUUUUUUACAACCUGUUUUUUCAUUUAAUAAUGAUUCAUAAGUUUUUUUCUGUGUCGUUAUACAUUCUUCAAGGUUAUGAUUUUGGUACCUGUACAGUGACAGCUGUGGAUGUUUGAAUAUUUAUGGGGAAAAUGGAACAAACUGCUUAAACUCUGGCAUUAGAUACUACAGAGUCCAAAUGCCUGCCUUGACACUUAGUUUGCUAUGUGACUUGGGCAAAUUAUUUAAAUAUUCUUUCUCAGAAUCCCCAUCUGUAAAAUGGAUAUAACUAUAUGGUCAAGUGAUGUAAUGAAUCAAACAUUCCCGAGACAUAGUCUGCCACAAAAGUAAGGGUUCGAUAGAUUUUGACUAUAAUUAUUAAUUAUCAUAAUCCUAAAUCUUCUAUAAUUACUCAUGAAACAGCCCCCAUACUUUUCCAGCAUCAUAAACAAAGCUGUGAUGAACAUCCUCAAAUAUUUACACAUGAUUUUCUUGAGGUAAGUGCCUAGAAGUUGCAUCAUUGGGUCACAGAUUGUGGACAUUUAAAGAGUACAAAACUGUCACUGUUUUCACUAAAUCUUCCCAGUUGUCCACAACCCAGCCUUUCCCAUAUUUUUCUUGUCUACAGUCUCAGAGAUAUGUCUCUUUCCACAUCCAGGAUUUGCUGUAUGCCCACCUUCCAACAAAAUUCAGAGUCACAUCUGAAAUUUUCUUGAAAAAUUUUUUACAUCUGACAUUUAAAUUAGGGCUCUUUCAGGUAGAUUUCACCCAUUCAUUUAGUUAUUCACUCACAUACUAAGUGGAAAUUUCUAUAGCCUAGGUUGAUAGGAUAGAUUUAUGUUGUCAGAGCUAACUUUUGUGUUGCUCACCAUGGAGAGGGCUUUGGCUUUGAGGAAGAGUUUGAGACCGUUCUAAGGAUGUCUGUCAGCUAUUGAUCCAGGCUGAACGAUAUCUAGAAAAUCCUUCCCCUCUAGAAAUAGGGAUAUCUGAAACAGAAACACCUUGGUCCUCUGACCCGCUAGGAAUGAUCUCUCGCCCACAGACCCUACCUUGGCUUCCAGGAUCAGGAAAUAUCAAUACGAAACUCAGUGAGAUGCUUCUUUGAACUAACUACCCACUGUACUGGCCACUGGAAGAAAACCCAACAUGCUCCUCAUCCUCAAGGAGCAUUGCCCAUUGGACAAGGGGAUGUGCAAACAAUUAUAGGUCAUAGUUAAAUUUGCCAGAAUGGAGGAGUGUAUCUGUAAGGAAAUCCCCGAGUGAUGGUCUUCACAGUUUGCCUUCUGGUCUCCAGAGGGUUUUGGUUGGUCCAAGGUUACGGCCCUUAGAAACAUUUUUAGUUGCCAAUAAUCAGCAACUGGAGAUUUCAGGUAAAAAUGAGGUUUCUGUCUCACCUUGAAAAAAAAUGGGAGCAUUGGCAAUACUGUGCCCUCAUCUUACCCUGGCAACACUGAGGAGUGGCUGACCUGUUGGCUAGAGCACAGGUUCUUUUUUUUUUUUAUUUUUUUUUAUUUUUUUAUUUUUUUUAGCGCAGUCCCCACCACUCCCUAAGGUAUUACCUUUUGCUGCACUGCUUAUCUUGCUGUCUGGAUGAGCCUUGAGCUUAUGACCUUAGGCCUAGUUAAGGGGGCAUUUACUCUUUCACAGGCUCUCAGAGAGGUCUGCUAGAGUGGAAGGCUGCAGGGUAGGCAAGAAUUUGCUAGGUAGAUGGGUGGAAGGAGGACCAUCCAUGGCAGGCAAAAUAGCAUGUGCAAAGAUACGGGGGCUUGUGCAUGGAGAUCUGCUUGGGUGAUGAGAAGCAGACAGGAUGGGGAAAAAGUUGGGCAUUUGAAGGAAAGGAUUGAGAGAAAGAAUUGGAGAGUAAUGCAAGCAUCAGUUCUUGAGCAGCCUGGCAUGCCCAAAUAAAGAAUUUGGUUAGUCAUUGUUGUUGUUGUUUUCCGUAAAAAACUGGAUCUGAUGAUUGAUAAAGGAAUAGCUACAAGAGUUUCUACGAUCAGUGCCCUGACAUCAUGGUGGCACCUUGCAAAGUACGUUGUGUGCAGAACCUCAUUAAAUCCUGACACCAAGCCCAGAAGAUGUGUGCUUUUAUUUCCCUCACCUUACAAUGAGAAAAUGCAAAUAGAAGGAGGUUGGUAAGGUGACUUCCCCAAGGUCAAAACCAGUAAGUGACAAAGUGGGAAGUGACCCGGGGCCCAACUACAGAGCUUGCAACUUGAUUGCUAGGGUGCUCUCCUUCCCAGAUGGCAUUCAUGCUUCAGAACUGUUACUCCAGUGGAGAAGGCAGGGUUGCUUUGGGAGUGGGUAAGGAGAGGCUGACAGACAAACAGGGCUGCUGGGAGUCUGCUGCAGUGAGCAGCAGGAGAGUGGGAGAGACACACAGAGCUGCGUCCAUGCAGGGCAGAGAAAGGGGUGCAUGUGAGAUAUACAGAGGGGACCCUUCUUAAUGGAAGGGGCCAGCCAUAGGAGUUUUCUCUUGCCCCUUUGAAUUCUCAGGGCACUUUGUGUCUCUUUUCCAGGGCUUGCUUUUGCCAUGUCCCCAUAACAGCUGUACACAUCUUAUGGCAUCUUGUACAGUUUAAGUUUGUAAGGGGCAGGAGGAAUUAUGCUUUAUUUGCCUUAAUUUUAUUUUUGCAUUGCUGAGCACAGUGCUUUCAUAAACGAAUGAAUUCCCAAAUUAUCUUUUUCAGAUCAUUCCUCCUUAUGUGUGCAUUUGAGAAGUCCAUGGCAGGUUAAACACUUUUUCUUUUCAAAUAUGAGAAUAAUUUCUUUACAUGAUCUACUUUAAGCUAUUUGAAAAUAUGAGGGAAAGGAAAACAGGGAAGCUGUUUAAAGGCAGCAAACCCUUUAAGAGUCAAUGUCACAUUUAUUGUUAUAAAAUAUUUUUCUCUCUCUGUUAGACAUCUGGUUCCCAUUACAUACAGUAUUGGGUACUUGAGUUCACCAGGCAUUUUGCAUACCAAGCAGUGUGCAUGUGAAAUCCCCCAGACAUCCACCAGUUUGUAUUUGCACCAUGCAAGUCCUACUUUACAUUUACAGACAACCCUUCUAUCACCAACCUAAUUCUUCCCAAUAUGCUUUUGAAGUUACUUUGUUCAUACCUAACUGGAGGACCAAAUUGCCUACAUCUAAGAAAUGAAGAACUUAAUCAUGGAGUCUUUGCUUUAUGUCACUGUAUGGUUCAACUAUCUAUAAGCUCGCACCGAAAUCAAUGAAACAUCUAAAUCUUAAGUCUAUAUUUCCCAGUAACAUUGACCCAGAAAUGAGAAACACAAUAUGGAAUGUUUGCUAAUGAGUCAUGAAUUUCAUUAUAAUUGCUUCCACAUUCAGGAUAGCGCCCUUAAACCAUCUAAUCUUGACAUAUCCUGCAACAAUCCCAUGUGUUGUAAAUGAUUUUGCUUUAUUCCUUAGGUUACUGUUCAGAGCUUAUUUUAUGCUUCAUUUCAUUUUCUUAAAGAAAGCCACACACGUGUGCGUGCACACUCACACUCUUGCAUGUGUGCAUGCGCACACACAGGCACAGCAUUGAGGCUUUUGCCUCAAUCUGUAAUUUUUGAAAUAAAAUAAUUAUGAAACCAAAAGGGGCCCUCAUCAUUUGGUUUGAAAAUAAAAAUAAAUGCAUUUAGGAAGAGAGCUGAAAUAUGGUCAACUCUGGAGUUUCUAAGUCAGGUCUCUGAGAAUUCAGGCCAGAAUUGAGCAAUGCCCGGCCAGCAGCCGUCUGUCCCCUCUCUGUCUGGACAUUAGAGUAUAUGGCUGGAUGGAUGGACACAACUAGCAUUCAGUAUAGUAAUAAUGGAAAAUUAAAUACGGCUUUUAAAAACAGC